rnacentral:rRNA from 1 species
GGCNNNNNCAAGAACUUUCCACGUGAACCGUUGUAACUAUGUUCUGUGCUCUUUCUUCGGAGAGAGCUGAACGAAGGUGGGCUGCUUAAUUGUAGUCUGCCGAUGUACUUUUAAACCCAUUAAACUAAUACUGAACUAUACUCCGAAAACGAAAGUCUUUGGUUUUAAUCAAUAACAACUUUCAGCAGUGGAUGUCUAGGCUCGCACAUCGAUGAAGAACGCUGCGAACUGCGAUACGUAAUGCGAAUUGCAGAAUUCAGUGAGUCAUCGAAAUUUUGAACGCACAUUGCACUUUCGGGUUAUGCCUGGAAGUAUGCCUGUAUCAGUGUCCGUACAUCAAACUUGCCUUUCUUUUUUUGUGUAGUCAAGAAGAGAGAUGGCAGACUGUGAGGUGUCUCGCUGACUCCCUCUUCGGAGGAGAAGACGCGAGUCCCUUUAAAUGUACGUUCGCUUUUCCUGGGGUUAAAAAGAAAUGGGACUUUCCAACGCCGUGGUCUGGUUGGAACCCUUUGGUCCAAUGGGCGAAUUCCGGUAAGAAAUUAAAGGAAACCACCUCCAUUGGGGGUUUUGUAAGGUUCCGGCCCACUUUGCCAGUGAAUGGAAGUGGUUUCUGGUCCUUCCUUGAAGUGGACCUGGCUUGGGUGAAGCCAUGGUCUGGGCCAAUGGGUAUUGGGGUGGAAGAAAUUGCUGCUCCUUAGCGCUCCAGCCUCCGGUAGAAGUAAAGAAGGAACACCCAUUUGGGAUAAGCCGUGAAUUUUCCAUGGCGCUCCUUCCUAUUGGGACUGAAAUCAGCCAGACUACCCGNUGAACUAGCAUANAANNCANNNGCNGNNUGNNUUCCCUUUUUUUCUCACAAAGGGUGUGAGAAAGCUCAUAGGCACUGACCUUUACUACAACAANAUUGNU